GUAUAUUAAUGAUAGUGGUAGCCUCACAGCUAUAAUAGUUAUGAAUAAAUAAUCAUAUUCAUAAAGAAAAUAGGUAAAAGAGUAAGAUAUAUAACUGUAUAUCACUCUGGUUGGUAAUCAUGUCCACCAGCUUUAUAACAUCUGAAACUCAGUAAUGGACAAUCUACAUCUUUUGAUGGGAUCAAUCAAACACCAUGAUACUGGAUCAAGCACAUGGCAGUACCAGGUGGCAUUCACCCCAGGUACCCCAAAAAAGCAGAAAGACAGCUGACCCUGUACCAAACACAUAUGGUAUCUCCUCCCUGAGCUAGCUGGGUACAUGUUUAGAUAGUGAUGACAGCAGAGGCAGCCACUGAGCCCCACUCAGACCCUUCCCCAGGUUAGGGUGUAGAUUCAGCCUCUUUGGAGGUUGGAGGAAUUGGUGGUUGGGUCAGGAGAUAGUGGCACUGAUCAAAGCCAUGACUGGACAGGCACCAGCAUCCUCCAAGGCUGGUGGGGCCAGCAAGGGCUUACAACCAGUGACUUCUAUUCCCCACCAACCAUCUAGCACCCCUUGCCUCCACCUGGUAUAGUGUUGAGGUUUGCAACAUCUCCCAGUGAUAGCAUGACCUCUGGUCUUCUCUUGGAUGAUGCUUGAGACAUCAGUCAUGCUUUGGUCAUGAGGCUGAGCCCAACUAUUCCCAGUUGAUUCUAUCCUUUCCCUUCACAAAAUUAUCUGAAGCCAAUAAAAGGAACCAUUUAUUCCCCAACAUUAAUUCACUGUGGAUCACCAUCAGACCAAAUGCAGAAAUCUUGAGAAAUUUUAGUGUUCACACCCGAAGAUUAACAACAAAAAAGCCAUCUUUUCAUUUGUUGGAGAAAUUUUAAUGUUUUUCUAUCCAUGUAGAAUGUUUACACACAAAGCCAACUUUGUAAUAAUGUACUUUUGUGGAGUUAAAUUCACAAAACAAUGCAUAAAAAAAUUAGUAUACUAAAAGUCUUUACACAAUUUUUAUCUUUGGUAUUAGAAAUGAAGAGAUGAAAUAUAUAGCAUAGAGAAUUAUAAAACUAAUGCUAACACUUUAAAAUAGUAGAAAAAUGCUAAAAAUGAAAAAGAAAAAACAAAAAACCCAAAGAGAGAAUUUAUCAUAUAAAAAAGGUGCAUCCCUGUAAUCUAGUGGCUCGGGAGGCUGAAGUAGGAGAAUUGCAAGUUCAAAGCUAGUCUCAGCAAAAGUGAGGUGCUAAGUAACUUAGUGAGACCCUGUCUCCAAGUAAAAUACAAACUAGGACUGGGGAUGUGGCUCAGUGGUUGAGUGCCCCUGAAUUCAAUCCCCAGUGCCCCUCCCCCCAAAAGUAUGUUACCAGGAUACAUUAUGGACAACUGCAGAAAGGUUAUUCAUAAGAACUGGUCAUCUUUUACAAUCAUUAACUAUAUUUGGAAAUGCUGCAUCAUGAUGAAUAGCUAUUUUUUUUUCUUGGAACCUUGGAGAACACAUUCACAUUCUUAACUCUGACGUGAUUUGAUAUACACUGGCAUGAACACUCCCUCUUGAAUUUUCCCAUCUUCUGUUCCAUAUUUCUAAGUUGUGUGGGCUGCACAGAAAACUAUUCUUCAUUUGUUCAUAGAGACCACAAAUUUGGUGGAAACAGUACUGGUAAUCAAAUACCAUUGCGUAAGUGGCUUCUUACCCUCCACAUAAUAAAUUUCAAACUAGUCAAUUACUUUGCUGAAUUAUUCAGGCAAAUAUGGCUUUAAUUCAUUAAGAGCUCCUGGAAUUUCAUCAGCUGGAAGGAACACUAAAGCAGACAAAUGACACGUUUUGAAACGAAGGAUUUUUUGUCAUUGUUCUAUCACAUGGUCAGUCCAUUCAUCUGAAUUUCCUACCAAAUCCAUUGGAAUGAAUAGAGAAAAAAAUAAAACUUUGUUGGUAACACAUUGAAAUCCACCUUUGGAGGUCUUGAUCAUAUUCAAUUCCAACUGUGUCAUUACAAUUUGGGUAUUCAAUUAAAAUGAUUCAAAGUUCUUAAAAUCUUCAAAUAAGCAUCUAUAAAGUGCUUCACUUUUUGUAGUCAUUAACAUGGAAACAAGUGAAUAAGUUUUAGAGUUUUCAGGUCCGAAAAGGACAUAAUUCAUAUAUAUUUGAUUAAAAAAUAGCAAGAGAUAGUUUUGAAUGUGCCAUCACUUAGCCAAAUGAAAAGGCACUAGGGUUUUUUAAUGUUAGAUAUAGUGUAAGUCUGUCUUCUUCAACAGACAAAUCCCUAACCAAACCAGUUCACCAUUUAAUACGUUUUGUAACACUAGAGGAACCUCCACAUCACCAAGUAUUUUGGGGGUGGAAGGUUACUGAGCUUGUCAAAUUCUCUUUAUUCUCUGAUUAUGUGUAAAGGGGCAGAGAUUGGAUAGUUUGGAAACUUUCCUGGUGCAACCCAAAAUGCCUUCAUUCCUUCUCCAGAAUGUAGUCUUCUACCCUUCGUAUCUAGCAUUUUCCCCCCAUGGGAAUUGCAGUGCCUUGUGAGUUUUCCUUGAUGUUAAUGUGUCUCUCUUUUUUUUUUUUCUGCUUUCAAAUUUUCUUCUUCUUCUUCUUCUUCUUCUUCUUCUUCUUCUUCUUCUUCUUCUUCUUCUUCUUCUUCUUUUUUUUGCCUUUGCCUUUGCCUUUCUACAAUUUGAUUGUAAUGUGUCUUGAGAUGUUCUGAUUUGGUUUGAUCUUGCUGAGAGUCCUUUAAGUUUCAGGACUCUGGAUUUCAAUAUAUUUCUCCCAACACAUGAGAAGCUUUUAGUCAUUAUUUCCUUAAAUAAGCCUACUGCUUCUUUCUCUCCCUCUUUUCUCUCCCUGAACUCCAAUUAUUCAUAUACUUAUUUGCUUGAUAGUUUCCUUAUAGUUUUUUCACUCUUUUAGUUGUUAUAUUUUGUGUGCCUCUAAUUGACUAAUUACCAAUGUUGUCUCUUCAAGUUUGCUGUUUCUUUCUUCUAUAUGUCUGAUUCUAUUGUUUAAGCUUUACUCUGUACUUUUAGUCCUACUAUUGUAUUCUUCAACUCUAUGAUUUCUAUUUGAUUCUUUUUUAUGAUUUCUGUUCCCUUAUUUAACUUCUAGUUUUGUUUGUGCAUUAUUUUCCUGAUUUCAAUUGUUUGACUAUGUUCUCUUUCAUCUCAUUUGGCUUAAGAGAUAUCUUUGUGUAUUUUAAUUGGCAACAAAUAGGUCUACAUUUCUAUAGGAAUGAUUGCUGGAGUUUCCUUUGGUGGUGCCAUGUUCUCCUGUUCUUCAUUAUUCCUGUCAUUUUACAAACGAGCUAACAUUUCUUCUCAUUUUUAAAGACUGCUUUCAGCAGAUAAAAGACCUUCUCCUAUUGGGUCUCUGGACUGAUGGCUUCUAAUUGAGUGAAGUUGGGUCACAUAGCUUUUUCUGAGACUAUAGAGGUGUCUGCAGUUGUUGGGCCUGUUACCAGGGGGCUGAGUGGGCAUGGAUCAUCUAGUCCCUGGGAAGACUGAACAGCCUCUAGGAUCUUGGUCAAUAGAACUGGCAUUGAAAUAAGGUUCUAUUUCAGGUUUGCCUUUUGGGUCCACAGAUGGUGGGUCUGUUACCAGCUGUGAGUUUCUCUGGGUCCCUGGGAAGUUUCUCACUGGGCCACUGAGUUGGCCCCAGUCAAUCAGAACUGCUCUUGGACUAUGGCUGAGAGAGGGACCAAGUCAGAGAGUGACUUAAAGGCCUUCAGUUGAGACUGAGCUCUGGAGGGCUGGGAUGAGUGUGCCUCAUCUGAAGCAGGACUGCUCUCAGACCCAGAUGAGAGGGUUGAGAGGUGAGUUUCAGGAUUUUCUGAGGGACUAAGGUUGGAAAACCUACCUUCUAGGGCACAUGGAGUCAUUUCUCCCUUUAGAACCCUGGGUCCCAAAGCUCCCAUAAAGACAUUUUUGUCCAUGUAUGAAGACCAAAUUCCUGUUGUUGUGGGGGAAACAGUCAGUGGAUUUCCUAUUCUACCAUCUUGCUGACCCAGACAAAUGACCUUUAUUGUGAUUAUUAAUAUUGUUGGGUUUGAGUCUAUAAUAUUGCUUUUUGUAUUCUAUUUGUUCCAUCUGCUCUUGGUUCUUUUUGUUCUUACUUUUAUUUUUUGACUUCUUUUAUAUUAACGCACAUUAGAAAUAAUGUACUUACUAUUUUUUUUAAAUUUCCUUUGUUAGUUUAUGAAUUAUAAUUCUUUAUUUUGUUUGCUUUGUGAAUUAACUAUCACUGUAUAAUUUGAAUGAUAGUACACUAAUUCAUGUGUACCCUAAGAACCUUACAAUAACAUAUUUUCAUUUUCCUGCCCUGCAUCAUUAUACCAAUGUAACAAUAAUUUUUUUAAGUGUUAUGAGCUUCACAUGCAUUGGAAUUAUUUAAUUUAAGAAGGAAAUUAAUUUUUUAAAGAUUUAAAUGAUAAUUAAGAAAGCCUCAUGUAUUUGCCCAUGUAGUUAUGAUUUCUAGUGCUCUUCAUUCCUUUGUGUUGCAUAUUUCCAUUGGGUAUUAUUUUCUUUUGUCUGAAGGACUUCCUUGAAUGUUUCAUUUAAUGUGGGUCUGAUGGUGAUGAAUUUUCAAAAUUUUGUAAAUAUGUAGAAGUCUUUCAUUUGUUCCUAUUUUUAAAAGUUAUUUUCACUAGAAGCAGAAGAGUGUAUGUUAUUUUGAAGGUUAGGAAAGACAUAAUUAAAACAAGAGUUUUACACAUACCAAGUGCUUAGUGUAAGCUAAAAGUACUCCGGAUUCAGCCUUAGUAUUAUUUGCAAUGCACAGACUUGAAGACCGAGACUUAGGUUAAGUAAGUUGUCUAAUAUCAUACACCUAGCAAGUGGCAAUGUUUGUGUGGUAUUAGAAUCUGUAAUCUUAACCACAAUGUUCUAUUGCCUAUUAAGAAGGGAGGGAGCAGGGUGUUAGCAAUGAUGGUGGGGGACAUCAUUAUCCAAAGUACAUGUAUGAAGACAUGAAUUGAUGUGAACAUACUUCAUAUACAAACAGAGAUAUGAAAAAUUGUGUUCUAUAUGUGUAAUAAGAAUUGUGAUUCAUUCUGCUGUUCAUGCAUUUAAAAAAUAAAACAAUUAAAUAAAAAAGAUAGAGAAUAUGUCAACA
rnacentral:lncRNA from 1 species